UUUUAUUACGAACAAAAGAUCAGUGCCAACUAAGGUAUCAAGCAGACUAACAAUGGUAUCGAAACUUUGUGUUGCAUUUUACGUUAUUUUGAUAUUGGCAGCAUUUGUGCAGUCAUUACCAAUGACAGGUAAGACCAAACGAGGAGGUUUAUCGACGGUUGAACUCAAUAAAAAGAGAGCAACAAACUUUUUGCAUAGAGAACGCAGAGAAUCCUGGAGAGGAUGGUUUUCAAAUGAAUUUGAUGAACAAGAGGAGAAUGAUGAUCUUGAAGAAUGGAAUCCAUUUGAAUUUAAGAAGAGAACACUAUAAAGAAAUAUGAAAUUUGAUUAAAUAUUCCUAAAAUAUUA